rnacentral:rRNA from 1 species
AUGCACGCUGGCGGCGUGCUUAACACAUGCAAGUCGAACGAAGCACUUUAUUUGAUUUCCUUCGGGACUGAUUAUUUUGUGACUGAGUGGCGGACGGGUGAGUAACGCGUGGGUAACCUGCCUUGUACAGGGGGAUAACAGUUGGAAACGGCUGCUAAUACCGCAUAAGCGCACGGCAUCGCAUGAUGCAGUGUGAAAAACUCCGGUGGUAUAAGAUGGACCCGCGUUGGAUUAGCUAGUUGGUGAGGUAACGGCCCACCAAGGCGACGAUCCAUAGCCGACCUGAGAGGGUGACCGGCCACAUUGGGACUGAGACACGGCCCAAACUCCUACGGGAGGCAGCAGUGGGGAAUAUUGCACAAUGGGCGAAAGCCUGAUGCAGCGACGCCGCGUGAGCGAAGAAGUAUUUCGGUAUGUAAAGCUCUAUCAGCAGGGAAGAUAAUGACGGUACCUGACUAAGAAGCACCGGCUAAAUACGU